rnacentral:lncRNA from 1 species
GCGUCGGAGGAGUCGAGUCGAAAGCCCCCGACGGGAACUUGUCUCGGUAUACUCUCUAUAACCUUUGUUCUCUUACUGUUCCUUAUAGUUUUUUCCUUCUGUUCGAAACAACCACUUCUGUAGUAGUAGCUAACAUACAUCAGGUUCGGUUUUAAUUUUUAAUGGUUCUUGUUGGAUUCUUUUUGAGGAUGACCGGUCAGUUAACUUAUCUUUAAAUAUAACUAAACUCAAAAUAAAUAAUAUUUGCUACUUUACUUAAUGGUUGCUGAUGGUGUUCAACAAAAUUAAAAGAAAACAUAAACAGUUUCGGUUGGUUUAUUCUUUUUGUAUUGAAGAAGAUGAUAGCCAAGCUAGAUCCUAUUUCAUAACGGAGAAAUACAUUACAAGUGAUGUUAUUUAAAAAAAGGGUGUAAUAUUUUUAAGAUAUAAUGUAUUACUUAUAAAAAAAAAGUGAUAAAGGUUGUGUACUAGUGAUGGAUUGGUCGUCUAUGUUGUUUCAUCCAACUAGUAAUCAUUCGGUAUCCAAAAAUUAUAUAUUUUUUUUCUUUUCUGUUUUAAAUUAGUAAAUACAAAAUGAAACAUGUUAUGUUUAUUAAGUUAUUCCUUUUGAACUACACUUAUACAUUAACCAAUUCCAUUAAAAAUCUUCUUGUUAUAUAUAUCGACGGGUUAUAUUUAGAUAAAAUACCUAACUAAUUUGUAAACUUUAAAUAUUAGGAUUAUUUAUUAAACCUAUGCAUUAUUAACUAGAUCGUCAUAUGGUAUUUAACAUCUAGGAUAAUCGCUCUUGUUGGUUUUCUUGGAUUUUUCCCAAUCUUACUCGUACGCUACUUACAAGAAAUCGCAACGCAACCAAUGUGAGUAUACUCGAACCCAUUUUUACUUUUAACACUUUGGGUGCAACAUGUAUUCUAUAUUAAACGCACAUGACACUUGAAACUUAUUUGAAACUUACUCUAUCCAUUUAAACAUGAAACAUGAAACUUGUGAAUCUUGAGACUAUUUUGUGCUAUGUGAACGUUUAAUUCUUGUGUGUAGUUCCGCCUUAACAAUAGUAGCGCUAUAGGAGUAAUGCACCUCCCCGUUAGUCUUUGGGGUAUUGUUAGGAGGAGACAUAUCAACCUCCCGUGAAACUUUGGGUUAGGUACUUUAACGCAUUGGGAAACUUGGGCUAUCACUUGGACUACGUAAACUAGCAUGGUUGAAACUAUUUUAAUAUGUUCGUGUUGGAUAUGAGUUUUUAUUCUAUUAUGCUAUGUAAACAAACUUGUAUACUCGCUCUUUGCUUUUGCAUUGAAACUCUAUUUUAAUACAUGUUGCAGGUUGACAGUCAAGAUAUUGAAGAAUCAAGUUAGGAUGGACUAGAUACCCAUUUUAAUAAUAAACCAUGUUUUGUUAUGAUGCUUUUGAGCGAUUUGUUCGUCUCAUCCCGAUGUUUCCGCCAUCGGUUGGGGUGUGAC